GCGCAUUACCACAAGGUAUGCUGGAUUUACGGGUAUGACGACAGACAGUCAGACCCGCUGACGGCUUUUGUCAGCGUGGACCUUCAUCGGUUCACUGUGACAUCUGAUGACAGAAGCGUAAAAAAAAAUCAAAUAAAAGUACAACUUCAAGAUUAGCUUUCAGCAUCAAACGCAACAGAAAUCCUCAGAGAAAGUCUGGAUUUAAAUGUUGAGCCGCGGUAGAGUUGACGGCCUGCUGGCGGUUGCUAUUGAUGGGUUUAAAAGAGCCAGUUGAUUUAAGCAUCCCCAAGGGAAGCAAUAGCAAUCUAUAACAACACUAUACAAACUAAAUGGAGAUUUUUUUUCCCACAGUUAUUAUCACCCCUGCUAAAGACGGUAAUUUGAAUAAAUGUAUUAAAUAGGGAAUAAAAUCUCUCUAAUAUUACUGAUACUGCAAAUAUUGAAUAUUAGAAUUUUUUUAAAUAUUUUUUUUACUUUAGUUGCUGAUCUAAGACUUCCUGUUACUCCAGGGGGGAAAUAUUAAGUCAAUAAUAUUUCAAUAAUAUGGUCAAUUUACUACUUUAUUUGUUUUUUCUAAAACAAAAAGUUGUUCCGGCUCCCAGAGUGUAAGCGUAGUUUACAUCAAACAGUUUUGAUACAUUUUUUCCACAUCCAGAUAAGAAGUCUGGUCAAAGUUGAUUCAAGAAGUUUGGGUCAUGAUAAAAGCUCAUCCUUAAAUCUGAAGAAGCAUCAUCUUCCUCCAGCCUUACGUAACCCAGCGGAGGCCCUUUACAUAACAGACCCAAAUCCUAUUAAUGUUAAUGAAGGAAGCGCGCUGGUGUAGGAGUCCAGCUGAUGAAGCUGGACGGCUGGACCGAGAAGUGGGCCGCGGCCUCUCUGGCUCACCGGUCAGCACAGUGACGGGUCCUCAAAUCUGCUCUGAAACAUCACCCCUCAUCGAGUAAAAUUUGAGUGUUUUAUUUUGAAACAAGACGAAAACAAAAGGAAAUCCUUCCUUUUGAAUGCAAAUGAAGAAUUUCCAACUUUAUCUUCCGUCGUGGAUGCGAGUAAUCUGACAAGAUGGGAGCCUUUUUAGGACAAAUCCCACGCCUUCGUGCGAGCUAUUUAAGGGGUUUAUUGUUUCUGCUUUUAGCUCCGUCUUCUCUCCCCUGGUUCCACGCUGCUUCAUGGAUGAAUUCACAGGUUCCUCUUGAACGACGGAGCCGACUCUCCCCUCUAUCCGGUCCCUCCACCCCCCCGGCUACGACUGCCAGCCUCAGUUUAAAAGUGCGCUAAUGGGAAGCAGACCGGCCGGAGUUGUCAGCUCCAGCCGGCCCUAAUGGAAAUCAAUGGGCUAUUCAUUAGAGCAGAAUUUAGGUGACACACCAAGGCUGGCCUAUCUGCCUCGUUUUAUACCUCGCUGCCUCUGUCUUCGCUCUACUGUCUCCUUUUCUUUGAAAUAUGGCUGCUUGUCGCCGUCGUGCUCUAUUAAGCCAGCUGGAGUUAAUCACAAAGGCACUAUGUUACACUCCUGUUAUGUUAUGGUGUCAUAGAUCAUUUUAAAUAACUUUUGGCGGGUCCCCACUGAAGGAUUUCACCUUUCUGUUCACGUUAGGAGGCAGAGUGGCCCAGAAUUUGACAGCCGAUAAGCGAAAUUAGAGAGUAUUGGGACAGUUUUCCCGCUUAAAUGCCGACCUCAAUUUGUGGCUGACAGCUAAGCGAAACUGUUCUUGCUUUCAUCGCCUUUGCAUGGGCAGCUCCGAAACAAAAGGGCGAUAAAAUGAGAAAGAAAACCAUGAAAGAAGAGGGAAUGUGCAGAACGACUCGGAACAAGUGAGGAGAAGGAGGUGAGAGGGGAAAAAGGCAGAGCGAGAAAAGGAUGGGGAAAGCGUUUUCUUGGCCCCGGGGCCGGCGAACGACAGUUGCCAUAGCAACGUGUUACCCACGACCCACUUCAGUCCCUCGCAGACGCUUCACUCCGCCUUCACGCGCGAGCACAACCCAAAGAUUGGCGUGAAGCAGCAGCUGAAGCUGAAGCUGCGGAGUGGUGCAGAUGACGGCAGCUUUUCUCUGCUCAGAGUGAUCAGUUGCAUGGUGGCGGUCAGUGCUGCGGCUGGAUUUACUGUCGUAGCCGCAGUGACACUUGGACUCACCCUGAGAAAAACACGCUGCAGAUGCUGCAGACAGUCUGAAAGUCUUGAACUAGACGGUGAAAAUGAAGGGGAGUACACCAGCCUUCAGCAGCCUGAGGGAGAUUUCUACCAGACUACAUCUCUGGUGAACCAUCCGCAUGUCGGCGCUCUGGGGAGGAAAAGUAAAAAGGCCUGUUUAGAAACUGAACAACAAACGGAGGACAUCUAUGAAAACCUGUAAAACAAAACAAAUAUUCUGUGAUGAAAGAAAACUUCCAAAAAAAAUCUGCUGAUCUGGGAACAUCUACCUGAGGAUUUUACCUGUACAAGCAUUUAUAAAUUACAAUAUUUUGUUUUUAUUAUCUUAACUGUAUAAAGCUUCAAUUUCUGCAGUGGUUUGUGAUAUGAGGCAUAUGGGUGGUUUCCCAGGGCAGCAGGAGAAAGAGGGCGCACAAGCAUCACAUUCAUUCUUAACCAUCUUUUCUGUUGCUUUUAUUUGUGCUGCAAAUGGUUUAGUAUUUUUAGCUGCUUUCAGCAAGACCGCAUUUUAAUGUCCCAGAAUUUAGAUCAUUUUCUCUAUUUUAGGUUGUUUGGUACCAGAAGCUCCAUACAUGAAGCACAACUGACUAAAAACACACCAUAAAUAACUUAAUAACUUAUUAUACUUUGUUUUACCCAAUAUACGUUUUGUGUUUUAUGCUAAAAGAAUUUUUUGUGUGCUGGAUUUUUGGCAAUAUACUUGUACCUAAAUAAAAAAUCAUAGUAGUAUUGAUACCGCAAAUAUCCUCACCUUUCAGUGUCAUACAGGAGUGGAAAAAAUAAAUUAAUUAAUGCUGACCAAGAUGCAGCUGAUUUAAAUCACUUCCCUCCUGAGAUUCUUAUUUAAGAAGUGAGACUGGAGCAGGGAACGAUCAUGGAUCCCAACAGAAAGCAAAUUUUAGUUGAUACAGUCAUUCAAUUUGUUUUUGUUGUUAAAAAUAGCAAAAUAAGUUGACAGUAGGAGAGUUUACUAUGUAAAAUUAACACUAAAAAGUCUAGUUAGUCCAACUGUCUUCUCUUUUGUCAAUCUGAGGUUUAUCUAUAAACGAUGCUGAGCUUCAGGUCUCAGACAGGAAUCCUGAUGUAUGUAUCCCACGUUCUUUAGGUCUUUUUUAAAAAUACAUUUAAUUUUUGAUAUUUUUUCUGUGCAUUUGGAUGCUUUUAUACCUUUGAGGUGAAAGUUGAACUAAAGGUGAUGUCUGCUUCCUUCUAAAGAGGCGUUUGCGGCUUGUAUCUUUAUAGAGUUAAAGAAUCUGCGGUUUAGCUGCUGAGGUAAACUGCAGAGUGCCAUGUAAACCAUUCACGGUAAACAAGGAGCAGCAGAAACAGCUGCUAUUAUUGAAGCCUUGACCAGCAUGAGUAGAUACAGUCUGUGGUUUAUUCUCCUGCUGCCGUUCACUUUUUGUUCCAAUGACAAAGAAUAUAAUCUGGAGCCGGUGGUGAAAACCAUCAGGAAAGAUGAAGAUUUGACUCCAGUUUGCAGCAAUUCCACACAGAAUCCAAUCGGAUUUGUUGUCUGUAGGAUCAGACCAGUGAGGAGCAGAGAAGAAGAAUGUCAUCUAAUCUAUCGAGUGAUGAGAGGCUUUGAGCAGGGAUGUGACUCCAGGUUUUCACUCAUGUUAAUAAAUCAGACAAUGUUUCUCCGUCUGAAAAAUUUAACACCAGAAAAUAGUGGAAGCUACAGCUGUGAGUGCUCACGUCCUGGUGGAACAUUUACUCUACAGCUCAACAUCACUGUGGAAGAUGAUGAAGGCACCAUUCCUCCUUCAGAAACAACUUUCCCUUCAACUUUAAUCAUCGUACUUAUAGUUUUGGUGUUGAUUGUUGUCAUCCUGCUGGGAAUCAUUUCUGCAUGUUGCUGCAGGAAUAAACACAACAGAAGAAAUCAACUAAAACUCCUGACUUGGAAUGAACUGAACAGCACAGCAUUGUACAAGGAAGCAGCAGUGGCUGAGCCGUACCUUAAACAGGAAGUGACAAGGCUUUAUUUUAAAGUCAAAGUGACCUGUUGUCAAACCAUAAACUAAUGAAAGAUUUCAUACAGAGGAUUUCUUCUCCUGCGUGUGAUCAAUGUUUACACUGUGCUUAAGAAGUACAAACAUAUAUUUUUCUUUUCUUUUUUUUUUGCCACCAAUUAGCAAUUAGUAAUCGUUUCUGAGCUAAGUAGACAGAAAAAAAUGUUUCUUAUAAAGUGAAUGUUGCUACUCGUUAGCAAGACUGAACUGUCUCAUUUAUGUUUGGCAACUGAUAAUAUCUUGAUUUAUGCAACACGCACCCACGUUACAUAAAUCAAAAAUAUAAUAAAACUUUCCGUAUCACUGAUUUUUCUUGCCAUUUUUCUUUUGAUUGACCACUUCUUUAGCUUCGCCACAAGGGCAGCUAUGGAAAAUGUUAUGCACUUCCCUUUUUCAGUGGGCCUAUAACUAGAUCUUCCUUUUGUGAGAACAAACACUUUGUCUGGCUCUGAGGUUUUGACUGCUGUUGCUGUAGACGAGUGCAAAGGGGCACAAGCCUGCUCAGUACGGCUCAGUUUGGUUGGUCGCUGCUGCGGAGGAUACAUAGAUGAACUCGUCUGGCUCUGCUUUUGUUAAAGGAACGAGCUGCAGCGUCUUUGUGGUUCAUCGUAGGUAGUUUAAGCAGUAUGUGGAGAUGCACUUUGUGGUUUGUUUUACUUCUGCGGCUGACACUUUGCUCCAAUGACAAAGAAUAUAAUCUGGAGCCGGUGGUGAAAACCAUCAGGAAAGAUGAAGAUUUGACUCCAGUUUGCAGCAAUUCAACACAGAAUCCAAUCGGAUUUGUUGUCUGUAGGAUCAGACCAGUGAGGAGCAGAGAAGAAGAAUGUCAUCUUAUCUAUCGAGUGAUGAGAGGCUUUGAGCAGGGAUGUGACUCCAGGUUUUCACUCAUGUUAAUAAAUCAGACAAUGUUUCUCCGUCUGAAAAAUUUAACACCAGAAAAUAAUGGAAGCUACAGCUGUGAGUGCUCACGUCCUGGUGGAACAUUUACUCUACAGCUCAACAUCACUGUGGAAGAUGACGAAGACACCAUCCCUCCUUCAGAAACAACUUUCCCUACAGCUCUAAUUGCUUCAUUUGGAGUUUGUGGAUUAAUCAUCAUCAUCCUAUUGGGAGUCAUUUCUGGAUGUAUCUGCAGGAACAAAUACCACAGAAGAAGAAGAAGAAGAUGUGAAGUGACCAUAACUCCUCAUCCAAACACGGAAGUGCAGGACAUUGAGCCGUACAGCGUCUACAGAGAGAACGAACUUUAUUUAACGUCCGUAAUUCACACCAGCCUGUCUACAAAUAAUCUGAUUGUGAUUGGGAUGGAUAAUCCAAGCUCAGGGAGACCUCUAUAGACUAUUUUAUGUUUUAAUUUGUGUUUUUCUAUGGAGCACUGUAACUGUCUAUAUUUUAACAUCUGUGUAUUUUGUUUAAAACUUAUUUUCUAAAUAUUAAGCAUUUUUCCAUGUUAAAGUAAAGAGAAGACCAGAAUAAUGUCACAUUUCAAACAAGAACCAUGUUCUCUUUCUCCCCCAAAGUCUUCUCGACUCGACAUGCUGUAAUGUAAUGGGUGAGGGGUGAGUUUGGGUGUUUCGGGUCGUUUGAACAUCGACCACUCAGUCAGGCAGCAGCAGGUGGAAGCGAAGCGUUAAGGCUGACCAACAAAUUCUUUCUUCCUGUAUGAACUUCCUGUUUUCAGCCGCACAGGCCGCAUGGCCUUGUCGCCUGCUGGUGUGAAACUGGAGGUGUAACCCUUCCACAUGUCAACUGCAGUGUGCAAAUUUUUACGCAAAGAUUACUCUGCAAACACCACCACACAGACUUUAUUGCAUAAACGUGUUGACUUCUGGUCUCUCUUCUUAACUAACUUUACUCUCCUGUUAUUUAUUUGUAUUGGUUGCAAUAAGGAAACUGAAAAGAUGUAAAUAUAUAGGGAAAAAUAGAAUUAUAUUAAAAUGUGUUUUUUUUUAUUUACCGUAUGUUUUUAUAUGUGUGCAUUCAUUGCAUUAAACUUUUUCUUUUUCUUUUAAAUGUCAUUCAAACAUAGAUUUAGAAUAUUCUUCCAAUAUGGAUCUACUUUAAAUGCUCACUACAGUCUGUUCUAUCAUCUGUAAGCUGGUGAUAAUUGAUCUAUUUUUGUUGCAUUUACAAGAGACGAGGAUUUGAUUCUAAGAUACUG